GGUGAACACACACAGUGACAACUGAUACAUUAUCAGACAGUGCCACAUAUCACUUCCAAUAGAACACCACUGCUAAUGUGGCUUCAGGACUCAGGAAUUACAUACACCACUGAAUGCAUAGAAAUAUCUGCAUCAGGGAGACCAGAAAAAUCUAUCAGUCCCUGACCACCUCUUAUCCAAGGACACAAGUUCUCUUCCACUCAGCUGAAAUGUGAAAACUCCUCAAAGAAGCUUCCUCUGACUACCCAAUCAAACUAAGAACCUCCCUGGGGCCAAGUAAUAAAUACUUUCUUAAAAACCAUAAA